rnacentral:rRNA from 1 species
UACAGAGGUCCCAAGCGUUGUUCGGAUUCACUGGGCGUAAAGGGUGCGUAGGUGGUUAGGUAAGUCUGAUGUGAAAUCUCCGGGCUCAACCCGGAAAUGGCAUUGGAAACUAUUUGACUAGAGGGUUGGAGGGGGGACUGGAAUACUUGGUGUAGCAGUGAAAUGCGUAGAUAUCAAGUGGAACACCAGUGGCGAAGGCGAGUCCCUGGACAACUCCUGACACUGAGGCACGAAAGCUAGGGGAGCAAACAGG